UGGGUAGGGGUGAAAGGCCAAUCAAACCGGGAGAUAGCUCGUACUCCCCGAAAUGCUUUUAGGAGCAGCCUCGGGAGAUGUUUCACGGAGGUAGAGCUACUGAUAGGGCUAGGGGGCUUCACCGCCUACCAAACCCUGAUAAACUCCGAAUGCCGUGAAAUUAUCCCGGGAGUGAGGGAUAGGGUGCUAAGGUCCUAUUCCGAGAGGGAAACAACCCAGACCAUCAGCUAAGGUCCCUAAAUAUGCGUUGAGUUAAACUAACGAGGUCUGACUGCAGAGACAGCUAGGAUGUUGGCUUGGAAGCAGCCAUUCAUUUAAAGAGUGCGUAACAGCUCACUAGUCGAGCGGUCGGGCGUGGAUAAUAAUCGGGUAUAAGCGCAUUACCGAAGCUAUGGUCCCGUACUUUUACGGGAGGUAGGGGAGCAUUCCGUCGGCGCGGAAGCCGAGCCGUGAGGCUUGGUGGAGCUUACGGAAAAGCAAAUGUAGGCAUAAGUAACGAUAAAGCAGGUGAGAAACCUGCUCGCCGCAAGACUAAGGUUUCCUGAUCAACGCUAAUCGGAUCAGGGUUAGCCGGGACCUAA
rnacentral:rRNA from 1 species